rnacentral:rRNA from 1 species
CCUACGGGAGGCAGCAGUGAGGAAUAUUGGUCAAUGGACGAGAGUCUGAACCAGCCAAGUAGCGUGAAGGAUGACUGCCCUAUGGAUUGUAAACUUCUUUUAUCAAGGAAUAAAACGAGGCACGUGUGCCUGUUUGCAUGUACUUUAUGAAUAAGGAUCGGCUAACUCCGUGCCAGCAGCCGCGGUAAUACGGAGGAUCCGAGCGUUAUCCGGAUUUAUUGGGUUUAAAGGGAGCGUAGGUGGGUUGUUAAGUCAGUUGUGAAAGUCCGCGGCUCAACCGUAAAAUUGCAAUUGAUACUGGCAGUCUUGAGUACAGGUGAGGUAGGCGGAAUUCGUGGUGUAGCGGUGAAAUGCUUAGAUAUCACGAAGAACCCCGAUUGCGAAGGCAGCUUACUAAACUGUGACUGACAUUGAUGCUCGAAAGUGUGGGUAUCAAACAGGAUUAGAUACCCCUGUAGUC